UGGGGAAUAUUGGGCAAUGGGCGAAAGCCUGACCCAGCGACGCCGCGUGGGGGAAGAAGUCUCUCGGGAUGUAAACCCUUGUUGUACGGGACGAAGGACGUGACGGUACCGUACGAGGAAGCCCCGGCAAACUACGUGCCAGCAGCCGCGGUAAUACGUAGGGGGCGAGCGUUGUCCGGAAUCACUGGGCGUAAAGCGCACGUAGGCGGGCUGUUAAGUCGGCCGUAAAAGGCACUGGCUCAACCGGUGUUUGUCGGUCGAUACUGGCGGUGUGGAGUAUGGGAGAGGG
rnacentral:rRNA from 1 species